ACGGGAGGCAGCAGUGGGGAAUAUUGCACAAUGGGGGGAACUCUGAUGCAGCGAUGCCGCGUGGAGGAAGAAGGUUUUCGGAUUGUAAACUCCUGUCUUAAGGGACGAUAAUGACGGUACCUUCGGAGGAAGCUCCGGCUAACUACGUGCCAGCAGCCGCGGUAAUACGUAGGGAGCGAGCGUUGUCCGGAAUUACUGGGUGUAAAGGGAGCGUAGGCGGGACAUCAAGUCAGAUGUGAAAUAUAUGGGCUUAACCCAUAGACUGCAUUUGAAACUGUAGUUCUUGAGUGAAGUAGAGGUAAGCGGAAUUCCUGGUGUAGCGGUGAAAUGCGUAGAUAUCAGGAGGAACAUCAGUGGCGAAGGCGGCUUACUGGGCUUUUACUGACGCUGAGGCUCGAAAGCGUGGGGAGCAAACAGGAUUAGAUACCCUGGUA
rnacentral:rRNA from 1 species